UUAUAGCGCCGGUCCCUUCUCUUGUUUUAUUAUCUUUGUUUUUUACGAUUGUGAAACGUGCUGAUUUUGACGAGGUAGAUUGGGUUGUAAAAAAGCUUGGUUCUAAAAAACUGAAAUCAACAACCCUUAAAGUAGAUGGGUUUCGCUAGAUGUGUUUGGUGUUUGGCUUUGAUCAUUUUGUUUCAAGGGAGCUAUUUUGAUAUGUCUAUAUCUCUAGAGUUAUUUUUAGUCUUGGCUUCUAUUUCAUUUUUUGAGGUUUAUUUCAAGUUAUCUCUAUUUCGUUUCC